rnacentral:lncRNA from 1 species
UUUAAAUACUCACCUGAUAUUCACCUGUGCGUCCGCCGCACCAUUCAUUCAUAUGCAUCAUAUCUCAAUAUGCAUCAUAUCUCAAUUCAUACUUUUCAUAUCAUUUCAUGCAUGGCAAUUCGAUUCACAUUUAUAUAUAUAUAUUUCAUAUACUUCUAUGCAUGGCAUCUCAAUUCACAUUUUCACAUAAUUCUAUAUACCUUUCGUUUAAAACAUAAUUUCAUUCUAAUUCAAUUUCUGGGAAA